CGGGGGGAGCAAGCGUUGUUCGGAUUUACUGGGCGUAAAGGGCGCGUAGGCGGCCACCGCAAGUCGACUGUGAAAUCUCCGGGCUUAAACCGGAAAGGUCAGCCGAUACUGCGGGGCUAGAGUGCAGAAGGGGCAACUGGAAUUCUCGGUGUAGCGGUGAAAUGCGUAGAUAUCGAGAGGAACACCUGCGGCGAAGGCGGGUUGCUGGGCUGACACUGACGCUGAGGCGCGAAAGCUAGGGGAGCGAACGGGAUUAGAUACCCCGGUAGUCCUAGCCUUAAACGAUGAAUGCUUGGUGUCUGGGGUUUUAUAGUCCCCGGGUGCCGUCGCUAACGCUUUAAGCAUUCCGCCUGGGGAGUACGGUCGCAAGACUG
rnacentral:rRNA from 1 species